AACGAACGCUGGCGGCAUGCCUAACACAUGCAAGUCGAACGAGACCUUCGGGUCUAGUUGCGCAGGGCGGGUUAAGACGUGGGAAGCUGCACUUAAGUUCGGAAUAACUGCCCGUGAGGGGUGCUAAGACCGGAUAAUGUCUUAGGGCCAAAGAUUUAUCGCCUUUGGAUGGGCGCGCGUUGGAUUAGCUAGUUGGUAGUGUAAAAGCCUACCAUGGCGACGUUGCAUAGCUGGUCUGAGAGGAUGAUCAGGCACAAUGGGACUGAGACACGGCCCAGACUCCUACGCAAGGCAGCAGUGGGUAAUAUUGGACAAUGGGCGAAAGCCUGAUCAAGCAAUGCCGCGUGAGUGAUGAAGGCCUUAGGGUUGUAAAGCUCUUUUACCCGGGAUGAUAAUGACAGUACCGGGAGAAUAAGCUCCGGCUAACUACGUG
rnacentral:rRNA from 1 species